GACGUAGGGCGCGAGCGUUGUCCGGAUUUAUUGGGCGUAAAGAGCUCGUAGGCGGUUUGUUGCGUCGGCUGUGAAAUCCCGAGGCUCAACCGCGGGUCUGCAGUCGAUACGAGCAAACUAGAGUGUUGCAGGGGAGACUGGAAUUCCUGGUGUAGCGGUGAAAUGCGCAGAUAUCAGGAGGAACACCAGUGGCGAAGGCGGCUUCCUGGCCUGUUCUUGACGCUGAGGCGCGAAAGCUAGGGGAGCAAACGGG
rnacentral:rRNA from 1 species